UCACGACGUUGUAAAACGACGUUAUGCAUGAACGUAAUGCUCAUAACUUCCCUCUAGACCUAGCUGCUGUCGAAGUUCCAUCUACAAAUGGAUAAGACUUUGUUCUUAGUAUAAGUGUAGGCGAUUUUUUGAUUGGAAAGUAAAGGAGCAAUAACCAACACUCUUGAUAGAAUAAGAAAUUGGUUAUUGUUCCUUUACUUAUUGCUCUUUUAUUUACAUAAGUUUUUUUUUACUUCAGCAUAAGAAAAAGUAUUCUAGUCUUAGGGAUUGGUUUCUGAUUCCGUAUCAUACUUUUUUCCUYAGAUGUGCAUUUUUUUAUAAUUUAUAUACAUUUCUUUUCAACCCUUUGUAAGGCUUUGUUAAAUUAUUAUCUUCUACUUUUUUUWYGGAA
rnacentral:misc_RNA from 1 species